UCCACCAGCCGGCAGCUGGGGACCUUUUAUGAUGCAAUUCAUUAGUUUGUGGUUCCUCAAAGCUGCAACAGAAAUCUCUAAGGGGACCAGGCCUCAGCUCUGCUUUAUUAAAACGAAAUCUCCCCUUGGCAUUUCUCUCAGGCACAUCUCCAGAUGCUAGGAUGUCAGGCCUUGUGUUGAGACUUUCCCUCUUACAUGGAUAGCUGGGAUGCUGAGACAAAGACAACUGGAAUGUAGAUUUGACCAACAAAACUGAGGACUAUUCUGGAAAAAGGAUCCAAUUGAACCACUUGUGAACUUUUAACGCCUACAGACUGAGGUGGGAAAUGGAGAACUGAAAGAUCCUCUGGAUGAUUCCAUGCCCAGCCACCACGUGACUACAAUCACAUGAGAGACUCCAAGCCAGACUGUCAGUGGAAAGGGGACAGAUACAACUCCACA